rnacentral:rRNA from 1 species
AGAGUUUGAUCAUGGCUCAGGACGAACGCUGGCGGCGUGCUUAACACAUGCAAGUCGAACGGAAAGGCCCUUCGGGGUACUCGAGUGGCGAACGGGUGAGUAACACGUGGGUGAUCUGCCCUGCACUCUGGGAUAAGCCUGGGAAACUGGGUCUAAUACCGGAUAGGACCGCAUGCUUCAUGGUGUGUGGUGCAAAGCUUUUGCGGUGUGGGAUGAGCCCGCGGCCUAUCAGCUUGUUGGUGGGGUAAUGGCCUACCAAGGCGACGACGGGUAGCCGGCCUGAGAGGGUGACCGGCCACACUAGGACUGAGAUACGGCCCAGACUCCUACGGGAGGCAGCAGUGGGGAAUAUUGCACAAUGGGCGCAAGCCUGAUGCAGCGACGCCGCGUGAGGGAUGACGGCCUUCGGGUUGUAAACCUCUUUCAGUAGGGACGAAGCGAAAGUGACGGUACCUACAGAAGAAGGACCGGCCAACUACGUGCCAGCAGCCGCGGUAAUACGUAGGGUCCGAGCGUUGUCCGGAAUUACUGGGCGUAAAGAGCUCGUAGGUGGUUUGUCGCGUUGUUCGUGAAAACUCACAGCUUAACUGUGGGCGUGCGGGCGAUACGGGCAGACUAGAGUACUGCAGGGGAGACUGGAAUUCCUGGUGUAGCGGUGGAAUGCGCAGAUAUCAGGAGGAACACCGGUGGCGAAGGCGGGUCUCUGGGCAGUAACUGACGCUGAGGAGCGAAAGCGUGGGUAGCGAACAGGAUUAGAUACCCCGGUAGUCCAA